rnacentral:rRNA from 1 species
AAGACCUUGCACUUUUGGAGCGGCCGAUGUCUGAUUAGCUAGUUGGUAAGGUAAAAGCUUACCAAAGCUUCGAUCAGUAGCUGGUCUGAGAGGACGGCCAGCCACACUGGGACUGAGACACGGCCCAGACUCCUACGGGAGGCAGCAGUGGGGAAUUUUGGACAAUGGGGGCAACCCUGAUCCAGCCAUGCCGCGUGAGUGAAGAAGGCCUUCGGGUUGUAAAGCUCUUUCAGCCGGGAAGAAAAGGUUGCGAAUANGCGAUCCCUGACGGUACCGAAAGAAGAAGCACCGGCUAACUACGUGCCAGCAGCCGCGGUAAUACGUAGGGUGCGAGCGUUAAUCGGAAUUACUGGGCGUAAAGGGUGCGCAGGUGGUUUUGUAAGUCAGAUGUGAAAUCCCCGGGCUUAACCUGGGAACU